AUUGAACGCUGGCGGCAGGCCUAACACAUGCAAGUCGAGCGGAUGAAGGGAGCUUGCUCCUGGAUUCAGCGGCGGACGGGUGAGUAAUGCCUAGGAAUCUGCCUGGUAGGGGGGGAUAACGUCCGGAAACGGGCGCUAAUACCGCAUACGUCCUGAGGGAGAAAGUGGGGGAUCUUCGGACCUCACGCUAUCAGAUGAGCCUAGGUCGGAUUAGCUAGUUGGUGGGGUAAAGGCCUACCAAGGCGACGAUCCGUAACUGGUCUGAGAGGAUGAUCAGUCACACUGGAACUGAAACACGGUCCAGACUCCUACGGGAGGCAGCAGUGGGGAAUAUUGGACAAAGGGCGAAAGCCUGAUCCAGCCAUGCCGCGUGUGUGAAGAAGGUCUUCGGAUUGUAAAGCACUUUAAGUUGGGAGGAAGGGCAGUAAGUUAAUACCUUGCUGUUUUGACGUUACCAACAGAAUGAGCACCGGCUAACUUCGUG
rnacentral:rRNA from 1 species